rnacentral:rRNA from 1 species
GGGUGCGAUCAUACCAUCACUACAACACCGAAUUCC